rnacentral:rRNA from 1 species
UACAGAGACUGCAAGCGUUAUUCGGAUUCACUGGGCGUAAAGCGCGUGUAGGCGGCUUGGUAAGUCCGUUCUGAAAGCCCGGGGCUCAACCCCGGGAGGCGGAUGGAUACUGUCAAGCUCGAGUCCGGAAGAGGCAAGUGGAAUUCCCGGUGUAGCGGUGAAAUGCGUAGAUAUUGGGAGGAACACCAGUGGCGAAGGCGGCUCACUGGACCGGAACUGACGCUGAGGCGCGAAAGCGUGGGGAGCAAACAGG